rnacentral:rRNA from 1 species
AGCGAACGCUGGCGGCAGGCCUAACACAUGCAAGUCGAACGAAGUCUUCGGACUUAGUGGCGGACGGGUGAGUAACACGUGGGAACGUGCCUUUAGGUUCGGAAUAACUCAGGGAAACUUGUGCUAAUACCGAAUGUGCCCUUCGGGGGAAAGAUUUAUCGCCUUUAGAGCGGCCCGCGUCUGAUUAGCUAGUUGGUGAGGUAAAGGCUCACCAAGGCGACGAUCAGUAGCUGGUCUGAGAGGAUGAUCAGCCACAUUGGGACUGAGACACGGCCCAAACUCCUACGGGAGGCAGCAGUGGGGAAUCUUGCGCAAUGGGCAAAAGCCUGACGCAGCCAUGCCGCGUGAAUGAUGAAGGUCUUAGGAUUGUAAAAUUCUUUCACCGGGGACGAUAAUGACGGUACCCGGAGAAGAAGCCCCGGCUAACUUCGUGCCAGCCGCCGCGGUAAUAC